AUCUUCCGCAAUGGACGAAAGUCUGACGGAGCAACGCCGCGUGAGUGAUGAAGGUUUUCGGAUCGUAAAGCUCUGUUGUUAGGGAAGAACAAGUGCGAGAGUAACUGCUCGCACCUUGACGGUACCUAACCAGAAAGCCACGGCUAACUACGUGCCAGCAGCCGCGGUAAUACGUAGGUGGCAAGCGUUGUCCGGGAAUUAUUGGGCGUAAAGGGCUCGCAGGCGGUUUCUUAAGUCUGAUGUGAAAGCCCCCGGCUCAACCGGGGAGGGUCAUUGGAAACUGGGAAACUUGAGUGCAGAAGAGGAGAGUGGAAUUCCACGUGUAGCGGUGAAAUGCGUAGAGAUGUGGAGGAACACCAGUGGCGAAGGCGACUCUCUGGUCUGUAACUGACGCUGAGGAGCGAAAGCGUGGGGAGCGAACAGGAUUAGAUACCCUGGUAGUCCACGCCGUAAACGAUGAGUGCUAAGUGUUAGGGGGUUUCCGCCCCUUAGUGCUGCAGCUAACGCAUUAAGCACUCCGCCUGGGGAGUACGGUCGCAAGACUGAAACUCAAAGGAAUUGACGGGGGCCCGCACAAGCGGUGGAGCAUGUGGUUUAAUUCGAAGCAACGCGAAGAACCUUACCAGGUCUUGACAUCCUCUGACAACCCUAGAGAUAGGGCUUUCCCUUCGGGGACAGAGUGACAGGUGGUGCAUGGUUGUCGUCAGCUCGUGUCGUGAGAUGUUGGGUUAAGUCCCGCAACGAGCGCAACCCUUGAUCUUAGUUGCCAGCAUUCAGUUGGGCACUCUAAGGUGACUGCCGGUGACAAMCSRGAG
rnacentral:rRNA from 1 species